CCAACACCGGGGGGGCCGCCGGGACCGCGGCCGCCCGAGGAGCCCCGGAGCCCCCCGCUGUGUCUCGGCGGCCCCUCCCGGGAACAUCCGCACCCCCCCCCCAACAUCUGGAGCGGCGGUGCCCCCACGCAGCCCCUCCCGCGCUGCUGUUGCCCCCCACCCCCCCAUCCCACCGCCUCAACGGGAGAUCGAUGUCGUAAUUGUGACUGCUGACAUCACCGGGAUGGGGGGGGUGGGGGGUGGUCACGGGAUGGGGAGUGACGUCACGGUUUGGCUCUGAUGUCAGAGCUGUGACACCAUCACUGCAGCCGUGGCUGUCGGGGGGGGGCGCGGAUGCAGAAAGUGAUGGAGGAGUCGUGGAGGGUGGGCCAUCCUGAACCCCCCCCCACCCCCCGGUUCGGUGGGGGCUUUUCGGAGCGGUGCACAACAGCGCGGAUGGCGGUGAAGGAGGGACGGAACGCCGCGCUGGGAUGAGCUGAAGUCCCCCCCCCCACCGCACUGAGGAGCCGACAGCAGUUCGGCAUCAAAUCCCGGACCUGCGCCAUUGCAGUGCCCACCCUGUGCUGUGACCCCCCCACCCUCACCAUGCCCCCACCUCACCAUUCCUACACCACCCCGUACCCAUACCUACACCAUACCCAUCCCAUCCUAUACCUACAUCAUACCCACCCCAUACCCAUACCUACACCAUACCCAUCCCAUGCACCUCCCAUACACAUAUCUACACCAUACCCAUCCCAUCCCAUACUUACACCAUACCCAUCCCAUACCCAUAUCUACACCAUACCCAUCCCAUCCCAUCCCUUCCCAUACCCAUCCCAUACCCAUCCCAUCCCAUACCUACACCAUACCCAUCCCUACACCAUACCCAUCCCAUCCCAUCCCUACACCAUACCCAUCCCAUACCCAUACCUACACCAUACCCAUCCCAUACCCAUACC
rnacentral:lncRNA from 7 species